AGGACGAACGCUGGCGGCGUGCUUAACACAUGCAAGUCGAACGAGGUUCAUCCGGUGGUAACACCGGUGAAGACCUAGUGGCGAACGGGUGAGUAACACGUGAGUAACCUGCCCCGAAGACCGGGAUAACAGUGGGAAACCACUGCUAAUACCGGAUAUCCCCAAUGGACCGCAUGGUUCGCUGAGGAAAUGGAUUCCGCUUCGGGAGGGGCUCGCGGCCUAUCAACUAGUUGGUGGGGUAACGGCCUACCAAGGUAACGACGGGUAGCUGGUCUGAGAGGACGAUCAGCCACACUGGGACUGAGACACGGCCCAGACUCCUACGGGAGGCAGCAGUGGGGAAUCUUGCGCAAUGGGCGAAAGCCUGACGCAGCAACGCCGCGUGAGGGAUGAAUGCCUUCGGGUUGUAAACCCCUUUCAGCAGGGACGAAGCGAAAGUGACGGUACCUGCAGAGAAGCGCCGGCUAACUACGCGCCAGCAGCCGCGGUAA
rnacentral:rRNA from 1 species